UACGGAGGGUGCGAGCGUUAUCCGGAUUCACUGGGUUUAAAGGGUGUGUAGGCGGGUCUUUAAGUCAGUGGUGAAAUCUCCGAGCUCAACUUGGAAACUGCCAUUGAUACUAUUGAUCUUGAAUUCUGUUGAGGUUGGCGGAAUAAGUCAUGUAGCGGUGAAAUACAUAGAUAUGACUUAGAACACCGAUUGCGAAGGCAGCUAACUAAGCAGAUAUUGACGCUGAGGCACGAAAGCGUGGGGAUCAAACAGG
rnacentral:rRNA from 1 species